GCUGAACCCUCCUCAACUUUCUUCGGCAAGCCGGAAGGAAGACACAGCAGCCCGGCCAAGAAGAGGAAGGGAAGGGUGCUCAUCCGGAAUUUGUUGACUGGAGAUACACUGCAUAUUGUCAUCACAGAAAGAUAAUUUGCUGAGGAGUUUUUGCUAAGAAGGCCGUCUCUGCAGGAGACAUUGGAUAAAAACAGUGAGUUGUCAGAGGCUGCCGAGUAGCUAAAGUAGUUUUGGGGAACUGUGAGCUUCGGGUCCGAGAAAGACAGGGAACAUCAG